UACCAGCACCCCGAGUGGUCGGGACGAUUAUUGGGCCUAAAGCAUCCGUAGCCGGUCUUGCAAGUCUUCCGUUAAAUCCACCUGCUUAACAGAUGGGCUGCGGAGGAUACUAUAAGGCUAGGAGGCGGGAGAGGCAAGCGGUACUCAGUGGGUAGGGGUAAAAUCCUCUGAUCCAUUGAAGACCACCAGUGGCGAAGGCGGCUUGCCAGAACGCGCUCGACGGUGAGGGAUGAAAGCUGGGGGAGCAAACCGG
rnacentral:rRNA from 1 species